GUAGGGCGCGAGCGUUGUCCGGAAUUAUUGGGCGUAAAGAGCUUGUAGGCGGUUGGUCGCGUCUGCUGUGAAAGGCUGGGGCUUAACCCUGGUUUUGCAGUGGGUACGGGCUAACUAGAGUGCAGUAGGGGAGACUGGAAUUCCUGGUGUAGCGGUGGAAUGCGCAGAUAUCAGGAGGAACACCGAUGGCGAAGGCAGGUCUCUGGGCUGUAACUGACGCUGAGAAGCGAAAGCAUGGGGAGCGAACAGGAUUAGAUACCCUGGUAGUCCAUGCCGUAAACGUUGGGCACUAGGUGUGGGGGACAUUCCACGUUUUCCGCGCCGUAGCUAACGCAUUAAGUGCCCCGCCUGGGGAGUACGGCCGCAAGGCUAAAACUCAAAGAAAUUGACGGGGGCCCGCACAAGCGGCGGAGCAUGCGGAUUAAUUCGAUGCAACGCGAAGAACCUUACCAAGGCUUGACAU
rnacentral:rRNA from 1 species